GUUUCUUUUUUUUGUUUCUUUUUCAAAGGUGUUAUUUAUUUAUUUGAGAGAGAGAAGAGAGAAAAAGCAUGAGUGAGAGAAGCAGAGGGAGAGGGAGAAGCAGGUUCCCUGCUGAAAACGGAGCCUUCCUUGCGACCUGGAUCAUGAUCUGACUUAAGACUGUUGUGCCCAAGAUUGUGAAUCUGUGAAUCUGAGAAAUCACAAAUCACCGAGAAGCCAACACCAAUGCAAACACAUGAGGGUUUAUUUACAAGCUCGAGCUUGUGUCCAAGUAUACCCAACACAGUGGAGCGGGGACUUGGACCCCGAGGUGCAUCACAGAGAAUAAAUAAGGAGACUGAACAAAAAGAGCACAAGACAUUGGGGACUUCGUCCAUAUCAGAAGGGACUCCUCAGAACCACAGGAUUCCCAGGAUAGAUGUGGGCCCGCAUCCACCCUGACAGGAACACCUGGGCCGCUUCAGGACCUGCAGGGAGGCUUCAGGAAGCUGUGGUGCUGCGUCCACUCUGUCAGGAGCUCCCGGGCCACUCAGGACAUAAUUUGAGUCUUCUGGAAGGUGGGGGCCGCAUCCAUGGUGUCAGGAGCCCUGGCCUCCUCAGAAUCCGCAGUGAGGCUAUGGGAGGACUUGGGGCCACGCCCACACAACAGGACGCUGACGUCCUCAGGACCCCCGGUGUAGACUUCGGGAAAUAUGGGGAUGCUUCCAUGCAGACAGAAGACCCCAGCCUUGUCAGGGCCUGUGGUGAGGCGUAAGAAAAAUGUGGGUGCCGAAUCCAAACUGACAGGAGUCUCCAGCCUCUUUAGGAUCAGCACUUUGGCUUCAGGACAUAUGGGGCUGCGUCUAUGCUGACAGGAGCCCACAGCCCCCUCAGGACCCGCAGUGAGUUUUCUGGGGGCCAUGGGGCCAUAUCCAGGCUGACAGGAGCCCUUGGCCUCCUGAGGACCUGCUGUGAGGCUUCCAGAGGAUGUGAGGCAUAGUCCACAGUGACAGGAGACCCGGCGUCCUCAGGACCCGCUGACUAUGACUCAGGAACACAUGGGGCCACAUCCACACUCACAGGAUCCUGGCUUCCUCAGGACCCCCUGGAGGACUCUGGAGGUGCCGUUGGGGGCCACGUCCACAUCAGAAGGGACUACUCAGAACCACAGGGCUUUAGGCUUUCCGCUGGGCACACCGUAAUCGUAAAUCGGCUCAUAACAAUGUAACCCUGCUUUGUGCCCACCAAAACUGCACGCCGAUUCUGACCAAAGAAAUAGGCCAGGUCAAGUGGAUCCUAUAGGACUGUUGUGCCCAAGAUUGCGAAUCCGAAAAACCAUGGAGAAGCCCACACCGAAGCAAACACACGAGGGUUUAUUUACAAGCUCGAGCUUGUGUCCAAGUAUACCUGACAGUGCGGAGCAGGGACUUCGACCCCGAGAGGAAGAAUCAGGGAUUCACCAGUUGGAGAUAACAGCAGUGCUCGUGACAUCACGUGACCUCCUUCAUGCAGGUCACCGAGGCUCCUCCCACAGUGUGGCUACUGUGGACCCGGCUGCUGUAUACAUUGGGGUGCAGGUGUCCCAAGUCUCACUGCAUCUGUAUCUUCGGAGUGAAAUCAGGCCGUUCACCUGCUGUUCACAGGAUGUUACAAAUAGAGUCGCCCUGCAGAGCCUCCACACUGUUUCCAGGGUGGCUGCACCAGCCCGCAAUCCCGCCCACAGUGGAAGAGGGUUGAGUGGGUUUUGCGGGACGUGGUAAAACUCUGGUCCACAUUUCAUUUCGCGUCCUGUGGGCUCCAAUUCCUUGUCCUUAAGUAUUUCUGGGGAAGCCAGGUGUUGGGCUCCGUUUCAGUGAGACGUUUCCAAAGCUAACAGGCCACAGCAGGAGCCUGGAAGGAGGCAGGUGUGGCCCCUGGAGCGCCACUGCCUUCUGCACAGCCUCCUGCAGCGCCUGAGCGUCCUGCAGGGGGCACCCGAGCCCAGGCCCCACCCAGCGGGCAUGAAUGUGCAGUAGGCCUCCUCUGCCUGCACUAACAGGAGCCAGCCUGUGCUGGGGAGGCCUGAGGAGGACGUGGGGACACGUCCACGCUGAUGAGCCGCAGCUUCAGGAAAUUGUGGGCUCGCAUCCAUGCUGAAAGGAGACCCUGGGCCUCCUCAGGACCCACGGGGCGGCUUCAGGAAGAUGUGGGCCCGCAUCCACGCUGACAGGAGCCCCUGGGCCACCUCAGGACAUAAGUUGAGGCUUCUGGAAGCUGCGGGCCGCAUUAAUGGUGGCAGGAGCCCCGGCCUCCUCAGAACCCUCGGUGAUGCUUCGGGAGGACGUUGUGUCACAUCGACACAACAGGAUGCUGAAUCCUUAGGACCCCUGGUGUUGACUUGGGGAAAUAUGGGAUGCAUCCAUGCGGACAGAAGACCCCAGGCUUGUCAGGGCCUGUGGUGAGGCCUAAGAAAAAUGUGGGUGCCGCAUCCACACUGACAGGAGUCUCCAGCCUCCUCAGGACCCACUGUGAAGGUUUGAGAAGAUUUGGGGCCACAUCUAUGCUGACAGGAGCCCCCAGCAUCCUCAGGUCUUAUGGUGAGGCUUGAGGAAAAUGUUGGGCCACCUCAACACUGACAGGACCCCCGUCCUCCUCAGGACAUGCACUUUGGCUUCGGGAAAUAUGGGGCUGCGUCUAUGCUGACAGGAGCCCACAGCUCCUCAGGACGUGUGGUGAGUUUUCUGGGGGACGUGUGGCCAUGUCCAGGCUGACAGGAGCCCCGGGCCACCUGAGGACCUGCUGUGAGGCUUCCAGACGAUGUGAGGCAUAGUCCACAGUGACAGGAGACCCAGCGUCCUCAGGACCCUCUGACUAUGACUCAGGAACAAUUGGGGCCACGUCCGCACUCACAGGAGCCCUGCUU